GGGAGCUUGCUCCCGGAUGUUAGCGGCGGACGGGUGAGUAACACGUGGGUAACCUGCCUGUAAGACUGGGAUAACUCCGGGAAACCGGAGCUAAUACCGGAUAGUUCCUUGAACCGCAUGGUUCAAGGAUGAAAGACGGUUUCGGCUGUCACUUACAGAUGGACCCGCGGCGCAUUAGCUAGUUGGUGAGGUAACGGCUCACCAAGGCGACGAUGCGUAGCCGACCUGAGAGGGUGAUCGGCCACACUGGGACUGAGACACGGCCCAGACUCCUACGGGAGGCAGCAGUAGGGAAUCUUCCGCAAUGGACGAAAGUCUGACGGAGCAACGCCGCGUGAGUGAUGAAGGUUUUCGGAUCGUAAAGCUCUGUUGUUAGGGAAGAACAAGUGCAAGAGUAACUGCUUGCACCUUGACGGUACCUAACCAGAAAGCCACGGCUAACUACGUGCCAGCAGCCGCGGUAAUACGUAGGUGGCAAGCGUUGUCCGGAAUUAUUGGGCGUAAAGGGCUCGCAGGCGGUUUCUUAAGUCUGAUGUGAAAGCCCCCGGCUCAACCGGGGAGGGUCAUUGGAAACUGGGAAACUUGAGUGCAGAAGAGGAGAGUGGAAUUCCACGUGUAGCGGUGAAAU
rnacentral:rRNA from 1 species